ensembl:rRNA 5S_rRNA 5S ribosomal RNA
GACCACAGCCUUAUCCCCCUGCAGCCCAAGACCAGCAAUUCACUGACGCUAAGCAGGGCUGAGACUGGGCAGUACCUGGAUGGGAGAUCACAUGGGAAAACUAGGUUACUGUUAGCA